GAUGAACGCUGGCGGCGUGCCUAAUACAUGCAAGUCGAGCGGAGGGACGCCAACCUUGCUGGUCUGAGGUUAGCGGCGGACGGGUGGGGAACAAGUGGAGAGCAUCCCUAUACCACUUGGAUGACUACGGGAAACCGUUGCUAAUACCAGAGAAUAUUUUGGACCGCAUGGUUCAAGAGUCAGAGAAAGUCUUGCUGUCGGUGAUAGAUGGAUCCGCGCUGCAUUAGCUAGUUGGUGAGGUGACGGCUUACCAAGGCAGCGAUGCAUAGCCGACCUGAGAGGGUGAUCGGCCACACUGGAACUGAGACAACGUCCAGACUCCUACGGGAGGCAGCAGUAGGGAAUCUUCCGCAAUGGGCGAAAGCCUGACGGAGCAACGCCGCGUGAGUGAUGAAGGUCUUCGGAUCGUAAAACUCUGCUAUCAGGGAAGAACAUAUGUGUAAGUAUCUGUGCAUAUCUUGACGGUACCUAAUCAGAAAGCCCCGGCUAACUACGUG
rnacentral:rRNA from 1 species